CUGACGAAGGCAGCCGAUUCAUCUGCAACCGGCCCCACAUCGGGAGCUGGGAGAGGAACACGUUUGCUUAUCCCACUCGCGAGCAGAUGAACCAAGUUUCCGGCCUCAAGCCCAACAUGGUUUCCAUCAAGGGCGGCCAGCGCGGGACCUACUGCUACACCCAGAACCUCGAUAUGAAGUGCGGCAGCGGCAGCCCAAACACCCUCGCGCACUGGUUCACAGUCGGGGGGGCGGAUCCCGUGAAAGCCGACUGGACCGGCGGCGGCUUCGGCUCCGCGGACAAGAAGUUUGAUUACUUCAUCUCACUCAAGUCCAACGAGGCCGGCGGUGCUUUUUGCAACGACGCGCGGGGGAGCUCGACCAUCAAGUGCGACAAGCCGACCGUCGGCAAGGGCGAGACAUUCCACAUGCUCUGGCUCUCGACGGAAGAGUCCAAGUCUGCUGACGAGAAGGCGGCGGCUGAAAAGAUCGCCAUCAACUCGGCACCCGCACCGCCGCCCUCGCCCGCGUCUCCGCCGGCGCCGACGCCGACCAUGGCUGAGGGGCUCUUCAUGUUCAUGGGCGGCGAGUCCGGCAGAUCCUGCGCUGACGAAGGCAGCCGAUUCAUCUGCAACCGGCCCCACAUCGGGAGCUGGGAGAGGAACACGUUUGCUUAUCCCACUCGCGAGCAGAUGAACCAAGUUUCCGGCCUCAAGCCCAACAUGGUUUCCAUCAAGGGCGGCCAGCGCGGGACCUACUGCUACACCCAGAACCUCGAUAUGAAGUGCGGCAGCGGCAGCCCAAACACCCUCGCGCACUGGUUCACAGUCGGGGGGGCGGAUCCCGUGAAAGCCGACUGGACCGGCGGCGGCUUCGGCUCCGCGGACAAGAAGUUUGAUUACUUCAUCUCACUCAAGUCCAACGAGGCCGGCGGUGCUUUUUGCAACGACGCGCGGGGGAGCUCGACCAUCAAGUGCGACAAGCCGACCGUCGGCAAGGGCGAGACAUUCCACAUGCUCUGGCUCUCGACGGAAGAGUCCAAGUCUGCUGACGAGAAGGCGGCGGCUGAAAAGAUCGCCAUCAACUCGGCACCCGCACCGCCGCCCUCGCCCGCGUCUCCGCCGGCGCCGACGCCGACCAUGGCUGAGGGGCUCUUCAUGUUCAUGGGCGGCGAGUCCGGCAGAUCCUGCGCUGACGAAGGCAGCCGAUUCAUCUGCAACCGGCCCCACAUCGGGAGCUGGGAGAGGAACACGUUUGCUUAUCCCACUCGCGAGCAGAUGAACCAAGUUUCCGGCCUCAAGCCCAACAUGGUUUCCAUCAAGGGCGGCCAGCGCGGGACCUACUGCUACACCCAGAACCUCGAUAUGAAGUGCGGCAGCGGCAGCCCAAACACCCUCGCGCACUGGUUCACAGUCGGGGGGGCGGAUCCCGUGAAAGCCGACUGGACCGGCGGCGGCUUCGGCUCCGCGGACAAGAAGUUUGAUUACUUCAUCUCAC
rnacentral:lncRNA from 1 species